rnacentral:tRNA from 1 species
GGCGGCGUAGCUCAGCUGGUUAGAGCAUACGGUUCAUACCCGUAACGUCGGUGGUUCGAGUCCACCCGCCGCUACCA